AUGCGAGUCGAGCGGAUGAGAGGAGCUUGCUCCUGGAUUCAGCGGCGGACGGGUGAGUAAUGCCUAGGAAUCUGCCUGGUAGUGGGGGACAACGUUUCGAAAGGAACGCUAAUACCGCAUACGUCCUAUGGGAGAAAGCACGGGACCUUCGGGCCUUGCGCUAUCAGAUGAGCCUAGGUCGGAGUAGCUAGUUGGUGAGGGGAUGGCGCACCAAGGCUACGAUCCGUAACUGUGCUGAGAGGAUGAUCAGUCACACUGGAACUGACACGGGUCCAGACUCCUACGGGAGGCAGCAGUGGGGAAUAUUGGACAAUGGGCGAAAGCCUGAUCCAGCCAUGCCGCGUGUGUGAAGAAGGUCUUCGGAUUGUAAAGCACUUUAAGUUGGGAGGAAGGGCAGUAACUUAAUACGUUGCUGUUUUGACGUUACCGACAGAAUAAGCACCGGCUAACUCUGUGCCAGCAGCCGCGGUAAUACAGAGGGUGCAAGCGUUAAUCGGAAUUACUGGGCGUAAAGCGCGCGUAGGUGGUUCGUUAAGUUGGAUGUGAAAUCCCCGGGCUCAACCUGGGAACUGCAUUCAAAACUGUCGAGCUAGAGUAUGGUAGAGGGUGGUGGAAUUUCCUGUGUAGCGGUGAAAUGCGUA
rnacentral:rRNA from 1 species